rnacentral:misc_RNA from 1 species
CUUCCAUCUCCUCCAUUAGAUGAAGGAGCUUUCUUUGCCCCACAAACUACUGGGAUAGAGCUCUCACAGUUCUUUGAUGGCAUGGAUGACUUUGGAAAUCCUCGAAACAGUGGGGAAUUCAUCAAGAACCGUGAAAAUGGAAGAAAACCUUCAAUGGAGAAUCAGAAUAUCACAAAGCGAAAACAGCAGACUCCAAAUGAGGCAAUUGUUGUUGAAAGACGAUAAGAGUCAACAAAUAAGGAGGCGGGAAGCUGUCACAAAGCCAAAUAGGCCCUCAAAUGCUGAUUUUGGUCCUGGAAGACCUCCAAAACAAAGUGUUGAGCGAAAAGCAAACAAUGAUUCAAAGAUAAUGCGAAAAACAGAAAGGGUUGUGAGCCAGAGAAAGCCUCCAAGUGGUCAACAAGAAAAAUUCAAGUGUUCAGAUGAAGUUGCUGUCCAGAUGAAACUUGAAGCCACCAAAAGGAAACUCCAGGAAAGUUAUCAACAAGCUGAGAAUGCCAAGAGAC